AAUGGCUAAGUCAUGUGCAGGACUUUAUAUCUAGCUCUCUAAUCUCCGACUAUUCCCUGACAGUGUGUCAGCUGGAUUCUUUCUGCUGCAACCAGCACACUCCAUGCCCUGAAAGGACAGCUAUAUAGAAAUGGACUUCUAAAUCCUGGAGGUGACAUUAUCGACACUUCAUUUGGGCCUUGUUGGUAAAUGUCCCCAGAGCGUGAUGGAUGAAUAGAAGCUGCUGAAUCAAGAGGCUGCUCAAGGCCAAGCUGCCAGAGGUGUCGGAUCUUGUUGGCCGUUGGCACUAAAUAAAGAAAGUACAGCAAUGUUUUCAGGACCACCGGAAUCUGGGUCACAGUCUGGGGAUACAGAAAUAUUUCUACUGGGUGUUAUACACAACUAAUGAAUCAUCGAGCCUUACAUCGAAAACCGGGGAUGUACUGUAUGGUGACUAACAUAAUAUAAUAAAAAAUCAUUAUUAAAAAAAAAAAAAGAAAUA
rnacentral:lncRNA from 1 species